CUACUACUCCCUUCGUCCGAAAAUACUUGUCAUUGAAAUGGAUGUAUCUAGAUGUAUUUUAGUUCUAGACACAUCCAUUUUGAUGACAAGUAAUUCCGGACGAAGGGAGUAUUAU
rnacentral:pre_miRNA from 1 species